UACGGGGGGGGCAAGGCGUUGUUCGGAAUUACUGGGCGUAAAGGGCUCGUAGGUGGCCAACUAAGUCAGACGGUGAAAUCCCUCGGCUUAACCGGGGAACUGCGUCUGAUACUGGAUGGCUUGAGUUUGGGAGAGGGACGCGGAAUUCCAGGUGUGAGCGGUGGAAAUGACGUAGAGUAUCGUGAGGAACACCAGUGGCGAAGGCGACACGUCUGGAGAGCAACUGACGCUGAGGCACGAAGGCCAGGGGAGCGAACGGG
rnacentral:rRNA from 1 species